rnacentral:rRNA from 1 species
GUGGGGAAUCUUGCGCAAUGGGCGAAAGCCUGACGCAGCCAUGCCGCGUGAAUGAUGAAGGUCUUAGGAUUGUAAAAUUCUUUCACCGGGGACGAUAAUGACGGUACCCGGAGAAGAAGCUCCGGCUAACUUCGUGCCAGCAGCCGCGGUAAUACGAAGGGGGCUAGCGUUGCUCGGAAUUACUGGGCGUAAAGGGCGCGUAGGCGGACAGCUUAGUCAGAGGUGAAAGCCCAGGGCUCAACCUUGGAAUUGCCUUUGAUACUUGCUGUCUUGAGUUUGGGAUAGGUGAGUGGAACUCCGAGUGUAGAGGUGAAAUUCGUAGAUAUUCGGAAGAACACCAGUGGCGAAGGCGACUCACUGGCCCAAUACUGACGCUGAGGCGCGAAAGCGUGGGGAGCAAACAGGAUUAGAAACCCGAGUAGUCC